rnacentral:lncRNA from 1 species
GUGAAGUCAUUAAAACAUGAAACUUAAAGAGAACUAUCAUUGUCUUCAAAUUUAAGAUCUGGAAAAAAUAGAUGAAACACAUCUUUGAUAAAUUAUUUGGGGUAAAUGAAAAUCUGUAUGUGGCUUCAUCCACAGCUAUCAAAUGGCCAUCACAUGGGGUGCACUUGUGAUUUUUAAGGUGAGUGUGUAUACAAGUUAACCUCAGCUGGACUUUGUUCACACUUGCUGGUGUGUCAGUGGGGAGGAGAGAUGCACACAGACCCUUCUGUCACCAAGCCCAUGCCUUGAUU